rnacentral:rRNA from 1 species
GGAUUUCCUAGUAACGGCGAGCGAACCGGAAGAGCCCAGCUUGAAAAUCGUGGCGCCCCGGCGCCUCGAAUUGUAGUCUGGAGAAGGUCCCUCUGCGGCGCGCCGGACCCAAGUUCCCUGGAAAGGGACGCCAUCGAGGGKGAGAGCCCCGCUGAUUCCGGAGUGCGCCGCUCCACGAGGACCUGUCUGCGAGUCGGGCUGUUUGGGAAUGCAGCCCUAAGCGGGUGGUAAAUUCCAUCCAAGGCUAAAUAUUGGCAAGAGACCGAUAGCGAACAAGUACCGCGAGGGAAAAAUGAAAAGGACUUUGAAAAGAGAGUUAAAAAGUGCUUGAAAUUGCUGGGAGGGAAGCGAAUGGAAGCUGCGGGUGCGCCCCGGUUGGAUGUGGAACGGCUGUCAAAGGCUGGUCCGCCGCUCAACGCGGGGCGCUGGUCAGCGUGGGCCAUCGCGGCGGGACAAGAGCGGGGAUUCGCUUCCCGCCGAUGCCGCUGCGGUGGCCGAGGAACGAAGCGCGCGCUCUUCAUGGGCGUGGGACUUGUCCCAACUGCGCGCUCGGGACGCUGGCGUAUUGAGCUCUUCAUCCGACCCGUCUUGAAACACGGACCAAGGAGUCUAACAUGUAUGCGAGCCGGUGGGCGGCAAACCCAUUGAGGCGCAAGUAACCUGACAGGUGGGACCCCGACCGCAAGGGAGGGAGCACCAUCGACCGACCGUGAUCUUUCUGUGAAGGGUUCGAG